UACGUAGGGUGCGAGCGUUAAUCGGAAUUACUGGGCGUAAAGCGUGCGCAGGCGGUUCGCUAAGACCGAUGUGAAAUCCCCGGGCUUAACCUGGGAACUGCAUUGGUGACUGGCGGGCUAGAGUAUGGCAGAGGGGGGUAGAAUUCCACGUGUAGCAGUGAAAUGCGUAGAGAUGUGGAGGAAUACCGAUGGCGAAGGCAGCCCCCUGGGCCCAAUACUGACGCUCAUGCACGAAAGCGUGGGGAGCAAACAGG
rnacentral:rRNA from 1 species